AUGUUUGCUAGGUUUGUGCUAUCAAAAGUGCUUCCAGGAAAGGAACAUAAUUCCUGAAAUCUGUGGCUGGUGGGGAACCAUUUUGCACAGCUGUAGCUUUAAUAAGUGAAAUGCCAAGGCUCAUUUUAGUGAACUACUUUGCACGUAUCAGGUAUAUCUAGCAGCAGGUUUUUUUUACCUGUUUUAAACUAAAAGGAAAAAAUAUUCUGAAGGGACCUUUAAUUUAAAAUUUAAAGCAAGCUGACUAUUGCAUUUUGUAGCUCCCACCAGCAGAAAAACUGAAAGCUGAACAGUAUUCUAUGGGGCUGCUGAAUCACGGCCUGAACCUCUGAUUAAUCAGCUGAGGAGAGCACUGAGUCAGCCACAGGAGCACAGGUGAAGGCAAUUUGUUUGCUCCACCUCUCCUAGAUCCAUUUAAGAGCUGACUGCUGGUGGGGAAGGAUCUCUUCUGGAGAGCUACUCCACUGGAGUUUGUUACGUGAGCCCAGGAUAGGGUUCCUCAAGAAGUUUUCGAGAAGUCAUCUUUUGCUCCGUCAGUGAAGUAUUACCCUGAGAAGAUGUGGGAAAACAGAACGCAGAGCAAGCCCUGGACAGAAGAGUUUUUCAAGUUAUUGAUGUAAAUGGACCUAUGGAUUGUCUGAGAAGGAAUGAUUAGACACAAGUGGGAUUUGUUAAAACCACACAUUUCAGAUGUAACAAAGUAAAUCAACAGUGAAGCUGAAGAAGUUGGAUUUCCAAGAAGUCUUUGAAAACAAGGGAUUAGGACGUCAGUUGUUCAACUGGAGAAGUUGAGUGGACGAGCUUGUAUGGAAAUGAUGAUGUGUGGACACCUACACUAGGACAGUGGGAAUCUGCUCCUAAUUGUCAGGGAAGAUGACUUACUGCCGAAUAACAGGAAGAAUGCUGUUGGUUUCCUUGUAAAUCCUCUAGUUCUGCCAAAUGAGAGCACGGGGGAAAUAGUUUGCUACAUGAGAUGACUCAGUGGAUUUCAGCCGUUCGGCGGUGCCGGGAAGCCACUCCGGCCACUCAGGCCAAUCCUACAGCCCCUGCUCGUAACACCCGAAAGAGCGCAGCGACUGGAGAGUAAACGAACAGAGAGAGAGAAUUGAAGAGAGAUUUCUGUAGGUGUCCUAUUUUGACUGCCUUCUCUUCCAACGUCAGUGUAAAAUACUGAAGAAACCACAGCAGUCCUUUCCCAGUGUUUCUCUAUACAACGUCUCUCGCCUUGAACUUCACGAAGCUCUACCAAAUUCAAGAAGGAACAUUAUUCAGAAAUUCAGCUGCAACACAGCAAACCCAGGAAGCACACCAGACAAUUCAGUUCAGUUUUACUGAUGUGCAAAAUAGAAAUGGACUACGGUGGGCAUAGUACAGGCCGAUAAAGUAUUUCAGAGAAAUGUCCAAAUCGUCUGGAGUUCUGCAGUGGAACAGCUCGUGCAUUCCAGACUUCUCACUUCAAGAGCAGUUCAAUAAAAUACACCGUUUGGCAGCACAUUGACCAUCCAUGGAACUGGAGCAUGAACUUCUUAACUCCCGGUGCGCUACAUGCUGUUAUGAUGCGGGACACCGAUAACCAAAAAUCAUACAACCGUGACAAAUGAUGAUACACUUGCGUUCAGGUUAUGGGCUCUGAGAGGAAAAGCAUUCCAAAGGGAAUAUGUGAAUGUUGUCCAGAGGAGAGCCACGAUGAUCGGGGGAUGGGAGCACCUCCCCUAUGAAGACAGGCUGAGAGAGCUGGGCUCGUUUAGAGAAAAGAAGGCUGCGGGGUGACCUCAUUACAGCCUUCCAGUACCUGAAGGCAGCCUACAAACAGGAGGGAAAUCAACUCUUUGAAAGGGUAGGUAACAGGACAAGGGGAAAUGGCUUUAAGUUCAGGGAGGGGAGAUUUAGGUUGGAUGUCAGGGGAAAAUUCUUUACUAUGAGAGUGGUGAGGUGCUGGAACAGGCUGCCCAGAGAGGCUGUGGAUGCCCCAUGCCUGGAGGUGUUCAAAGCCAGGUCGGAUGGGGCCCUGGGCAGCCUGGUCUGGUAUUAAAUGGGGAGGUUGGUGGCCCUGCCUGUGACAGGGGGGUUGGAGAUUCAUGAUCUUUGAGGUCCCCUCCAACCCUGGCCAGUCUGUGAUUCUGUGCUUCUGUAGUUCCGUGGGUUGCCACAUUAUAAAUUAGUUGUAACAGUCCUGGAGCGUGGCUGUCUUCAAGUGCAAACAUAACAAAUGCACUUCAACUUAGGUAAUUACUUGCUUUACUAAAUUCAGAUUGAUUGAAAGUAUGUGAAGUGUAUCAACGUGGUUUCCUAGAAUCUGAAAUCUAUGGCUGAGCGAUGGUGGAUCCAGUUCAGAACCUGGGUGACUUCUUCAGCUGCAAUAUGCAGAAAGUGGUAGGUAUGUGGCCGAGUACAGCCCAGAGAAUGGGGGACUGAUUGUCUGUCUGACUCCCCCUCUUCUUGUACAGUUUCAAGGCCCUGGUACGUACAGACAGAUAUUAAGUCCAGAGCAUUCGGUAGUUGCAGUAACCCUUCUGCAUUACUGCUAGAAAGAAACAGGCUCUUUUAGAACACAUUUACCUGACCUACUUCAGAAAGCUGCAUUACAAAUUAAUCUUAUCACCAUGUAUUUUAGCCAUCAGUUUUAGAAGACAUAUUUGGCAACACAGCAUCUUCCAGUUUACAGUAUGUGUGCAUUACGGGUAUCUGGGCUUUGUUUUCCUGAAAGUGAUAGCAGGCCUUGAAUGGUGCGUUCACACCAUCUACACGGCUUGAGCAAAGGAGAACACACACAUACAAUGGCAAAAGAAGUCUCAAUUAUCACAAGUUGUUCUCUACUACCGUUAGAAUUAGCACCUUUGGCCUUUAAAUGCAGCAGCAGAGCCAACCCAGACGCCCCGGUCCUGAUGCAUGACAACGGAGUGGACAAAAGAAGGGGCACAAACAUUCAGAAUUGCAAUGGACCGUUCCCACAAAGCUGUCAACACGCGGAAAGACAAGCUCUCCAAACUGGCACACUGUAUGUAACAAGCCAGUUCUGGAAAGCACGAGGAGGAACUCUGCAAACAGUAUUUUAUUUACUAUCAGGGGUUUGACAGCAUUGCUCUUUCUGCUGUGCACUGCAGUCGAAACGUUUCUUUUACUGACACGCAGGAAACCUCCACUGCUUCAGAUUGCAAGGCACCUGUCAGCUACAGCAGCGCUGUCAGUACAGAAUUCCAGCCAGUUUCUAGGCUGCUUGUCUUUUAGGAUGUGAUUUCAUCUGGAAGCAGGCUCUGAAAUGUGGCUCUCGGCUCACCCUGUUACACAGACGAUUGGCUGCGCUCUGGUUCAGGUGUUGGCUCACGUACUGCUUCUAAUCAGCAGCUAUUUCUGGGAAUUUUGGAUUCAUUUAUUGGUGAGUGACUUACUUACAGAAUUCAAAUCAGAGUGUUUUGAACAGAAGAAGCUGUUGUUUUUUUAAAAACAAACAAACAAACAAACAAAAACACCCUACAAUAUUGUUGCUUUUUUAAUGUUUGGAAUAUGCUGCUGGAAAUGUGUCUUCUAUCAGCAGCGGAAGCUUGGUGCUUGGAGAGAUACUUCUUUUACUUAGUAUAAAAUACUUAGGUAUCAUACAACUAACUAUUUUGCUUUUUAAAAAAAAAAAUUCCAGUGAGGAGGGUCAUACAAGUUUUAUAAUGAAAACCAAGGGGUAAGUUUUUCUUUUCCAUGAAGGAUAGCAAUGGGUUUGUCUCAUUUCACGAAGAACUUUGGGCCUACGGACAGCGGUGGGAGACUCCUAUGAGAAAAGGCUGUAAAACUACAGUUGUUGGAAGGAGAAUGUUAAACAAGAAUUAGAACUGUCUUGUUAAUGUCGCACUAGAAAAAUAAUGUAUUCGUUUUCACAGACUGGUAGAAAGAGUUUUCAAACACAUUUAAACAGAUUUUCUUGUUUUAAAACAAUAUUACCGCUUUCCUGUGUUAUACAGCAAUUCCUUACUUCCCUUUGCAGGAAUCCUUGCGAAUCCUUGUGCUUGGCCAGCUACCCAGCGCUUCCACAGCAAAUAUUUUGUUUAACUUCUACCUGAAAGAAAGCUGAUGCUACAGAGCUUCAGUUUGGGAAGAUAAGGUUUGGUUUGUUUCAUUUGCCGCGGCGGCACUUGGGAUGUGCUAGCACAAAGCAAUUGCUGCUGAGCUAUUUGGGAUGUGCUAGCACAAAGCAAUUGCUGCUGAGCUAUUUGAUACAUCUUUUCUCUCCACUUCCACUGAAAGUUUUUUAUUUUGGCUACUCGUAAACAAUUACGGUUACUUGGUUUGGAGUUGUGGCUUUUGGUGCUGGGCUGGCUUGCAGUUGUUUUUUUUCAUUUUUUGCAAAGUAAUGAUUUUAAAGGAAGCCUAGAGCAGUACAGUUUUUUGCUGAAGGUUAUUUUAAGUGUAAGUAAUUGGUAGCUACAAUAAUGUUUUCUAGGACUGUCAUAACAUUGUGGCUUUUCAAUUUUUUUUUCUGGUGGGUUUGCUUAACUCUGCUUGUGACGUUUUGAAAAGCAAAAAAUGGAAAGUCGGCCUGUUCUCUGCUGCUGAAUUCCAGUUCCCCCUCUUCUUACAAUGAUGAUGCCUUUUGAUAACGGUUCUUGAAAGAGCUGAAACUGAGAAGAGGUUACUUACUAGAAAUUGACAAUUAGUUCUCUUUAUUUCCCCCACUAAUGAAUUCCAAAACUAUGCUAAAUUAGAUGACGGCAUUGGGAAUCAAACAAUUGCAGCCGUAACGUGUCUGAGACAGCGAGGUAGGAUAGGAGCCACUCCCAAAUGGAGCUGUUUUGUCCUGCUGGCUCGGCUGAACAGCGUACACGGCGGUGUGACAACACCACAGAAUCUCCCGCCUCGAGUCAGCAUCACUUCUUUUCACACAAAUCAAGACCAUCUCUCCAUCUACCACAACUGUUCGAGAGACCUGAGUUGUUGUGCCGUUAGCCAUUAAACUAAUGCAACCAUUCUUAGACACUGUAAGGAAGAACAAGCUUCAGUGUCAGUUACCUUUACACCAUGAUUGAUAGUAAGCAGAGAGUCGAUGCGAUUUUGUUCAUGUCUCAUGGUUCGUUCAUCCUCAGGAGAGAUACCUGGCAUUGGCUUCAAUGUCAAAGUACAAAGUAUACUGCUACGUGAAAAUUAAGUUCAGUAACGUUAAAGUCAAAGCCACGGAAUUUCCAAAAAGGGGAGCUGGUUGGUGAUGGCUUUCGGCAAAAGCCAAACGGAACCAAAAAGCCCACCUCAGCUGUUCAGUGUUUGUAG